rnacentral:rRNA from 1 species
UACGUAGGGUGCAAGCGUUGUCCGGAAUUAUUGGGCGUAAAGAGCUCGUAGGCGGUCUGUCGCGUCGGCUGUGAAAUCCCGGAGCUCAACUCCGGGUCUGCAGUCGAUACGGGCAAACUGGAGUACUGCAGGGGAGACUGGAAUUCCUGGUGUAGCGGUGAAAUGCGCAGAUAUCAGGAAGAACACCCGUGGCGAAGGCGGCUCUCUGGAACGCAACUGACGCUGAGACGCGAAAGCGUGGGGAGCAAACAGG